AUUGAACGCUGGCGGCAGGCCUAACACAUGCAAGUCGAACGAGUGGCGGACGGGUGAGUAAUGUCUGGGAAACUGCCUGAUGGAGGGGGAUAACUACUGGAAAAGGUGGCUAAUACCGCAUACCAUCGGAUGUGCCCAGAUGGGAUUAGCUAUUAGGUGGGGUAACGGCUCACCAAGGCGACGAUCCAUAGCUGGUCUGAGAGGAUGACCAGCAACACUGAGACUUAGAAACGGUCCAAACGCCUACGGGAGGCAGCAGUGGGGAAUAUUGCACAAUGGGCGCAAGCCUGAUGCAGCCAUGCCGCGUGUAUGAAGAAGGCCUUCGGGUUGUAAAGUACUUUCAGCGGGGAGGCGUUACCCGCAGAAGAAGCACCGGCUAACUCCGUGCCAGAAGCCGCGGUAAUUC
rnacentral:rRNA from 1 species